UUCUCGUUAGAAUAGUGGUCAGUAUCCCUGCCUGUCACGUGGGAGACCGGGGUUUGAUUCCCCGAUGGGGAG
rnacentral:tRNA from 1 species